rnacentral:lncRNA from 1 species
UAACCGAACUGAGACAUAGAGACCUCAGGGAGGUGGAAGACCGGGAUCCCCAAGAUCUCCCGGCACGAACACCAAUCGAACUGAGACAUAGAGACCUCAGGGAGGUGGAAGACCGGGAUCCCCAAGAUCUCCUGGCACCAACACCAACCGAACUGAGACAUAGAGACCUCAGGGAGGUGGAAGACCGGGAUCCCCAAGAUCUCCCGGCACCAACAUAAACCUAACUGAGACAUCGAGACCUCAGGGAGGUAGAACACCAGGAUCCCCAAGAUCUCCUAGCAUAACAAGACUGGGAUCCCCAAGAUCUCCCAGUGCGAGA